AGGAAUGGGUCAGAACGAUAUGCCGACGCAGACUGAUUUUAAGUCCCAUUAAGGGCCAACGUACCCCUACUCUUAAUUCUCUCAGGGAAUUGAAACACUUGAUACAAAUUAAGAAGUGAUAAAAACAAAUUACAUUAAAUUGUUUAAUCAAUUCAAAGUUAAAGAUCAUCAAACAACAUGAACACUAAAACUACUUUUAUAGGUGUAUUACUUUAUUUGACAAUCCUUUCAUCCGUUCAUGUAAGUUUGUUUUUAAUUGUGUAUUUUAUACAAAAUAAUAUUUGUUUGAAUGCCGUAGGAAUCGGAUGCUGUUUUCGACAAGGACUACUGGUGUAAAUUGUAUGAAAGCAGUCGUUGCAAAAAUCCUGGAACUACUUUUACGCUCGAACUUAGUCUUCUGGUUUUCUCCCAAAAAAUUACAUGCCCAUGUCCUGGAAAUCCGACAUCUACUCCUUUUCCGAUAAAAAAAAAUUGAAAAAAAACAAAAUUUUCAACUUUAAAACCAUUCUUCAAUAUCUUCAAUUUCAUUUAUAUCCAUGGAAUAAACUUAAUUAAAUUUUAAAA
rnacentral:lncRNA from 1 species